rnacentral:lncRNA from 1 species
GAAAUUUGUGAACAUUUGCUUAAUAGAGAAGAAAUUUGUGAACAUUUGCCUAUUAGAGAAGAAUUUGUGAACAUUUGCUUAAUAGAGCAGAAAUCGGAAAAUUUGCUUAACAGAGCAGAAAUUUGUGAACAUUUGCUUAAUAGAGCAGAAAUUUGUGAACAUUUGCUUAAUAGAGCAGAAAUUUGUGAACAUUUGCUUAAUAGAGAAGAAAUUUGAGAACAUUUGCUUAAUAGAGAAGAAAUUUGAGAACAUUUGCUUAUAAUAGAGAAGAAAUUUUAAAACAUUUGCUUAAUACAGAAGAAAUUUGAGAACAUUUAAUGACUGUUUUAUAAUAUGCAAAGUAAAUUCAGUAAACUAACUGCUGAAGAAAAUAAGAAUUAUAUAGAUUGUUUCAGUUGUUGUUAUAUUAACAUCAUCGUAACAACAAUUAAUAAACGUAUGGAGUAAACUCUAGAAUCUUGCAUUAAAGCAAAUCCACCAGAACUGAUAUGAAUAAAGUUUAAAACAGAGAUACUAUGGUACAACUCAGUAUACCAUGAAUAGAAAGGAAACAAAAAUGACAAAUACUUUGACAGAUAGUUGUUAAAUGUUCAAGAGGAAAUAAAUUAUAUAUAGAAUCUAGACUUUUAAGUUGAAAAAAAACUGUUGAAUAUUCUUCUCGACAAGUCUUUACAAAUUAACUUCAAGUUAUUUUGAAGGUCAAGUUAUGGAAAC